UACGAAGGGGGCUAGCGUUGCUCGGAAUCACUGGGCGUAAAGGGUGCGUAGGCGGGUCUUUAAGUUCAGGGGGUGAAAUCCUGGAGCUCAACUCCAGAACUGCCUUUGAUACUGAAGAUCUUGAGUUCGGGAGAGGUGAGUGGAACUGCGAGUGUAGAGGUGAAAUUCGUAGAUAUUGGGAAGAACACCGAUGGCGAAGGCAGCCAUCUGGACCGACACUGACGCUGAGGCGCGAAAGCGUGGGGAGCAAACAGGGAUUAAGAAACCUUG
rnacentral:rRNA from 1 species